UACGUAGGGACCGAGCGUUGUCCGGAAUCAUUGGGCGUAAAGAGCGUGUAGGCGGCCACUUAAGUCCUGCGUGAAAUCUUGCGGCUCAACCGCAAGCGGUCGUGGGAAACUGGGUGGCUAGAGUGCGGGAGAGGAGAGUGGAAUUCCUGGUGUAGCGGUGGAAUGCGCAGAUAUCAGGAAGAACACCAACGGCGAAGGCAGCUCGCUGGGACGGUACUGACGCUAAGGCGCGAAAGCGUGGGGAGCGAACAGG
rnacentral:rRNA from 1 species